AUCUUCCCUCUUCUGUAUCUCUCUCUCUUGUUUUUCUUUCUUUCAUAGUUUCAGGGAAAGAAGAAAGAAGGAAACGCUGCAAGAUAUAUCACCAGAGCUCAGUCUGUUAAGUAACUUCAGGUCACCCUAACUAAAUUCAGGAAAUUAUGUGUCCUAAACACUGUUCAUCAAGAACAAAGAUCUGGCAGAACGCUUGCUCACAAGAAAACCUACAUACACUCUGGACAUGCUAAUUAGUAUCCUAAGUUCAUUGAUGCUUUAAGAGACCUUGAUGAUUGUUUUGUUAUGGUACACCUUUUGGCUUCAUUGCCUGCUGUUGAAAGGCAAUACGCGUUUAAGUGAAACGUAUUCAUAGUUGUAGAAGGCUGAAGUUAAGGACAAAAGAUAACUUGGCUAACACCUCAUGCUUUGCAGAAAGUCUUACCUGAUGAUGGGUUGUGGACUACAAAGUCAUGCUCACCUUUUUGGAGUUUUAAGAGUAGUUGGAUUAGAUGGAUCUCAGCUAAAGGGGACAGAACAUGAGUCUGAACUUAGGAUGGCCCAGCUUCAGCACCAACUUCCUUCAAAUGCACCUGGUACAUUAAUGAACCUGGUUGGAGAUCAUUCGGUGGAUGAUGAUGAAUAAACAAAAUAAUGCAAAAUUUUCUUUUAAGAAUGUGAAGUUUUUCCUCGGUCGUGAGGUAAAGCUACUUCGUUACUAAACAAAUCUUACUUCCAAUAUGCAUGACCAGGUUUGUUUGGUUUAGUUAUCUUCCAAGCUUACAGCUAGAUCUACCAUUCAUGCUCUCUUAUUGCUUUUUUUUUAAAUGUUAAAAUUGGUAUAAUAGAGUUGUAUCUAUUAUCACAAGAUAUACAAUUUAUCUAAAGGUUUGUGUAUAUGUUCUAUUUAGUGUUUUUGCUUUACCAUAUGAUGAUUCAUUAAGUUUCUAAGAAGAGAAAAGGGAUGCUAAUUUCUAAUUCCUAGUCAGGUAGUUUUCAUGUUUGUGGGGCUACCUUUUUUUUACAGGAUUUUUAAGGAGUGUUUGAUUUAUUAUUUUCACCUUUGUGUCUCUUUUCAUCUAUCAGUCAAUCUGAUUGAAUGUGUGAGCUGUAUAAAAUUAACGAGGUUUUGUUCUUGUUUUUCAUUCUAUAAUCCUAUAAGAAUCUAUGCAUACAUAUCCAGUGGGGUUCUUCUCAUUAAAUUUUCCAGGAUUUGACUGUCAUCUAUUAGUUUGAAGAACUAAUUUCUUCAAAAACAAUUUCUUAAACAUAUAGUUCUUCACACAUUAAGGUUCCAAGAGAAUCAUUGCUCUUUGUCGUACCUUCUUUUGGUGGUAUUUGUGUCCCGGGAAGGAGAAGGUGCUCCAUUUUCUGAAUCAGACCAGAGUUAUUACUCAUCAGGUCUGCUUCUAUAUUUGUCACCGCACAUGCUGACACACUUAUCAUUCGAUUAAUUAAAAGAAUAGCAAUAGAAAUGUAUGGUAUGAAGAUGAAGCUUUGCUGGAGCUUACCUUGAGUUCUAUAUUCAUUUCAAUGUUUCCAUACAUGAUUGCAUGUCAGAAAAGUAAAAUCCCUAGCUUGUUUUGGAUCUCUAAAACUUGUGGAGAGUUCGGUAUUUUGUGGAUUAUUCUAAUACAAUACAAAUUUCUUUAAGAAGUGAAUCCACAUAUUACAUUUGAACUCACUUAGGAAAACAAUACAAGUGAGGUUCUACUUAUAAUAGUUAAAAGUUAAGUUCAUUUUUUGGGGAAUCACAAUGUGACUACUUUGUGUUAGAAAUAAUUUGGUUCAGAUGAUGUUGUAGUGUUUUUUGGAAAGACAAUUAUAUUUCUGUAGAUCAAUAUAUUGUUGGGAAUGUAGGAUUUCUACAAGUAGAGUAUUUGUUGGAGUUGUUUUCCCAUUAGAAGCUUGCAGAAUGCCUCACCUGCCUAGAUUUAUUUGCUGCCUUAUAAUGUUGUUCCUGAUGUUAAUUGCAUAUUAUACAGUCUCUUUGCAGUAAUUUUGGGUGUUUAUAGGGAUUCAAUUUUUAUGUAAUCGAGGUGAUUUUGUAAGGUAUUUUGUCACAAUCACGAUCCAAUUGAAAAAUCGCCAAAAUUAUAUUGACUAUUUAUUUUAUUGUUGUACGAUUUUUGUUUCUUCAUUUGAUAUGCAUAUUAUUUUCUAGAUCGUUUGCAAUCUUUUGUUUUCAUUUGAUAUAGAGAUUCUUUUUUCUUUUAGGACUUUUGAUAAACACAACAAAUGUAACCAAACAGACCUUGUUAAGUCUUGCAAGCUGCUGCUUCAAUUUGUUCUUUAUUGUUUAUAAUGAAUUGAAUGGAGAAUUCUGUUGUUGCUGACUACUGGCCAUGUUAAUUUAUGUAGAUCGUUGACAGGCCAACGCAGUGGGUGUAUGAUUGUUUUAGUGCAACAAUUAUAUUGCCACUUGAGGAUUAUCUGGUUGGAAGGUAGUUUUAUAUAAUGGAAGGUACAUUCUCUGUUAAAACACUUAUUAUUUCUGUAUCUGGAUCCUUUUCCAGUUAAAGAAACAAAAAUUAAUUUCUGAAAUGUAUUUGACUAAAUUUAGUUUCCAAACGGCUAUGUAAUCUUGCUGAAAAUGGAUCCAGAUUCUAGAUGCAUAAAUAGAAACAAUAAGUGUUUCCAAAUGGGAUAACUUUUAUUUGUACUCGCAUCUUGCUGGUUUAAUAGGAUCUGAAAGUGCGAGUCGGAUCAAUUUUGGCGGGCAACAUUCAAGUCAUUGAGUCCAUGUUACAUAUAGCCUAGAGAUUUAGGAUUUGUAGGAGAAUAACCUUAAGCCUCUCAAAAUAAUAAAAUCAGAUUCAAUACUAGCUUACUCUACCAAUUACCAUUCCACCCUUAUACUAUUGCUGUUACAUAUUAUUCAUUCCAAUACAAUCAAGUCUAACUUAGAGAUUUAGGAUUUGUAGGAGAAUGGUGGAUGAGAAGAGAAUAAGAUAAAACCACUUUUCGUACUAGCUCACUCUACUAAUUACCAUUUUACCCUUAUUGGUAUUACUAAUUACCAUACUACCCUUAUACAACUGCUGUUAGCCUGUUACAUAUUGUUCAUUCCAUUUGGGUGAAUAUGAUGUCUUUAUUUGUUAUAUUUCCCUGUUAAACUGUGUUCCUUGCUAUGCAGAUUUGCAAUCAAAGAAAGGGCAAAAACCCUUAUUAAUUCAAACCCUUCAUUUAUCAUUAUUUUCCCUAUCCAAUCAUCCUAAUUAUUUUUUCAAUAAAAACACAACAUCCACAUUGUUUGGUUGUGCACCAUCUUCAUCAUUCUGCAAAAGUAUGUCAUGAAACCUAAAUAACUGUCUCUAUAGGUUUUUUGAAUUUCAAGGGUUCCUCAAAUAUUUGCAUUUAAAGUAAGAUUUAAGUUGUUGUAGGAUAAUGAACUUUUAUGCAUAACAAUAUUGAUAUCUAUAAAGAGCUGUUAUUUUCUUCUU